UACAAAGGAUGCAAGCGUUAUCCGGAAUGAUUGGGCGUAAAGCGUCUGUAGGUGGCUUUUUAAGUCUGCCGUCAAAUCCCAGGGCUCAACUCUGGACAGGCGGUGGAAACUACCAAGCUCGAGUACAGUAGGGGCAGAGGGAAUUUCCGGUGGAGCGGUGAAAUGCGUAGAGAUCGGAAAGAACACCAACGGCGAAAGCACUCUGCUGGGCUGGCACUGACACUGAGAGACGAAAGAUAGGGGAGCGAAUGGG
rnacentral:rRNA from 1 species